rnacentral:lncRNA from 1 species
CCAUGUUGUUGUGUGUGGCAACAAACUUUUUACUUCACUAAAGUGAUGAUAUCUUUUAAACCAUUCUUUCUACUAUCAUAAUCAUUUUGUAAAAGAGAAGGCCUUUUAACCAUCAAAAAAGAGAGGAUGUGUCCUCCAAGUAAGAACAGUUGUUCUCCAGAAUGAGAAAUUGGCAAUGUCAUGCUGACAAAGAGGGGGAGUCCCUAGGUAAAAUAGUAUAAACCUCAUCACCCAAGGCCAGUCCUUCUCCUGGCCAUGAGAGGGGAAGCGCUGCCCCUCACAAAGCCUUAUAUGCCUCAUUCAGGGAGGGAGAAAAGCAGUCCCUCUUGAGACCUGUUUCCAUGGUAACCAGUGAGCAAUUGACAAUGUGGCUGCAGUUGGGCCUCCUUGAAGGGGAAAAAUCUUCAACAGGAACCAGGCCACUGAGAGAUGGAAGAAAGGACAGCUCAUACCCAAACCUCACGAGGAGGCUACAGGAAUCACUGGACAGUUCCUUUAUUGGGAAAGCCCCCAGUGACUUUCCAAUGAAAUGGAUAGAGAAGGGAAAAGAGACCCUUCGGAAUCAGAUGAGUCCAUGAACUGGCAGCAGUCAGGGCAGUGAUGACAUCACAGAAGGAGGAUGGGCCUUAGACAGACAUCACUCUUUAGAAUCCCUGCAACUUUGAGCAAGUUCGUGAAUCUCACUAAGGCUCAGUUUCCUCCAUAAAAUUAAUCAAUAUCAGGGCCUCUGCAUUGGACAACUCCAGAGGGCACCAUUGGGGUUAUACCUUGUGUUUGCCUAACCUUCAUUGCAGUGGGCAGGUGCAUGCUUUCUACAAUGUCCUAAGGUCUAAAGGGGUAGAGUUCUGUGUGUGGCAUUUUAGGCCUGGAAAGGAUGAGAGUCUACAAAACCAGAGAAAUACUGCAGAGCUCCUAAAGUCCUUGGAAUGUCCUAAGUGCAAAUGGUCAAACCCAGGAGGGAAUGGUAUGAACCUCUGGUUUACAGCCAUUGGUAAGAAGCACACAUGACAACCUGGACUUUCCAUCAACAUUUGAAGCGGGAGCAGUCUUGUGGGAUCAAGCUCUUAACCUGUGGGGUCUGCUACUAACUCUGAAUCCAAUGAACACAUGGACCCAACACUCCUUUGGCCAAGUUGAUGAUUCUCCACCAUUUAUUUGCCUGCCUCACUAUACACUUCUAGCAAGCCACUGCAAGGCUGCAUUGCAGCUAAGAGGAAGCCCUCCUUGAAGGCUGCACAGCAAGGAGUGUUGGCAGAGUAGCUGGGUUUCCACUGGGAGAGCACGAGUCAGCAUCAUGCUGGGCUCAAGCAUGGAUAUGCACUGCUGCUGCCAGAGCAUCAUAAUUUGCAAGCAUUUAUCGAGUACCCUUCAUCUAAUUUUCAUCCUGCGGAAACUAGAAAUUGCUACACUUGCACACAAUAAACUUCUGGCAGUUAGCCUUCUAAACUGGGACACUACCAUUUGGGAGGGAAAAGACCUUUCUGGUGGUUAAAGAUGGGGCUUCCAGUUACUGCAUUUGUUUUAAUACAGUCUAUUCCAUAGAGCCAUCGAUGGAGACUCAUUAUAUAACCUUUCGUGGAAAGCUUCUGACUUCUUUCUCAAUGCACAGUGCUUCACGUGACUUUUGAGUUAUAGCUGACUGCCCUAGCUCACAUUUUAGUGCCAGAAGAUCCCAGACCACCACCCAUGAUCCCAGGCUGGAGGAAGCAGCAGGCUAGCGGAAUUCAGGACCAAUGAGCCAGGAAAGAGGACCCAAUGCAGAGCUCACAUCCCACCCUCCUUCCCCCAUGACAAAGCACUGGCAAACCCUGCCAAAGAAGAAGCUUGGCUGCAAAGCAGUCUGGAACUGGACCCGGGAUAGAUUCACCAGGAGCUCACCACCACAGGGAAUGCUGCACUUUGACUGGACAGAAUGCAUCCUCCAUGCCCACAGAGCAUGUGCCCAGGAUGAAUCUCACUGUAUCCCAGUUCCUCAUGCUUGGCCCCAAACCUCUUUUUCACAGUAAUAAAGAAAACACACUUUA